rnacentral:ncRNA from 1 species
GGACCUGAUAUCAGGCAAGAUUACCCGCUGAAUUUAAGCAUAUAACUAAGCGGAGGAAAAGAAACUAACAAGGAUUCCCUCAGUAACGGCGAGUGAAGCGGGAAGAGCUCAAGCUUAAAAUCUCCGUGCAAGUUUUGUGCGGCGAAUUGUAGUCUAUUGAGGCUGUUGUCAGCACAGCGACUUGGGACAAGUCCCUUGGAAGAGGGCAGCAUGGAGGGUGAUACUCCCGUUCAUUUCUGAGUUGCUCGUGCGUACGAUACGCUUUCUUUGAGUCGAGUUGUUUGGGAAUACAGCUCAAAGUAGGUGGUAAAUUCCAUCUAAAGCUAAAUAUUGGUGCGAGACCGAUAGCGAACAAGUACCGUGAGGGAAAGAUGAAAAGAACUUUGAAAAGAGAGUUAAAGAGUACCUGAAACUGUUGAAAGGGAACCGUAUCGUUUCUAGUGUUUAUAAUAAUCCUAUGCAUAUUUCAUUGGCGAGUGUGUGCGUGCGUGUGCUGUGGCAGCGGCUUUUUUGGCUGCGCUCGGCGUGUGUGCUGUGUGUGCUUGCUGGUGCUCUGUGCUGCGGUGGGACGUCAAGGUCAGUUCGUAUGCUGCGGGAAAUGGCUGCCGAGGAGGUAGGGCUUACGCUUGCGUUUGUCUGUUAUAUCUUGGUGGACGAGUAGCCGUGGUUAAGACUGAGGUGCCUACAACAUGCUUUUGAGUGGGUUUGUGUCUCCGUGUGCGCCGUGUGCGGAUAGUAUGGUCUGCGUCGUGUGUGCUUGUGUGUGGAUUGAUGCGAGCUUUAACUUGUUGCUGUUCGGGACUCUGGCGAAAUGGAGCGAUACGACCCGUCUUGAAACACGGACCAAGGAGUCUAACAUGUGUGCAAGUAUUAGGGUGUGGAAACCCAAAUGCGCAAUGAAAGUGAAGGGCAGCGUAAGUUGUCUGAGGUAGGAAAUGCUGCGGGCUUCGGUUUGCGGUGUGGCACUAUCGACCGAUCAUGAACCUCCGUUGGUGAAAGAUUUGAGUAUGAGCAUAUAUGUUGGUACCCGAAAGAUGGUGAACUAUGCCUGAAUAGGGUGAAGCCAGGGGAAACUCUGGUGGAAGCUCGUAGCGAUUCUGACGUGCAAAUCGAUCGUCAAAUUUAGGUAUAGGGGCGAAAGACUAAUCGAACCAUCUAGUAGCUGGUUCCCUCCGAAAUUUCCCUCAGGAUAGCAGCAACUUAAUUUACGAUAGUUUUAUGAGGUAAAGCGAAUGAUUAGAGGCCUCGGGGAAGAAACUUCCUCGACCUAUUCUCAAACUUUAAAUGGGUAAGACCUGUGGGUUUCUUAAUUGAACCUGUGGACGUGAAUAUCCAAGUUGCUAGUGGGCCAUACCGGGUAAGCUGGUCUGGCGAUGCGGGAUGAUCCGAACGCAAAGUUAAAGUGCCAAAGUACCCGCUCACCUAGAUACCAUAAAAGGUGUUGAUUCAUUUAGACAGCAGGACGGUGGCCAUGGAAGUCGGAAUCCGCUAAGGAGUGUGUAACAACUCACCUGCCGAAUGAA